CCGCAGAUGCUUUUGCACUAAACAUUGUUAAUUAGCGAUGAUCGUGAUACUCCUGCAUGCACAUUUCUAUGUGGGCCUAGGAGGAGACGAUUCUGAAUGAUCCCUUAUAUCAGUGGCCGUACUUGCUACUAAAAUAAAUUAUUAUAUGAUGAGCCAAUUAACAGUUGGGUUAUUAUUAUUAUAUCCUUGUUAUUGUUCUUGUUCUUGUUUGUUAAUUAAGUACCACCCUCGUGAGUUGCCUUGCCUUGUUUUGUCAACGAUGUCUUUGUAACACCCCUACGUUUUGUAAUAAUGCAAUAUUAUUGAUUUCCUCAACCAUACAUGUAGUCAUUUUGCAAGGGUUAUCAUCUUUUCUAAUUGAUCAAACAUGCAGCGGGGGAGCAAUUUAAAUUCCAAUCUUUCAAAUUUAAGGUGGCCAGAGCCAAUCUCACCACAAAUAUA
rnacentral:lncRNA from 1 species